rnacentral:rRNA from 1 species
GACGAACGCUGGCGGCGUGCUUAACACAUGCAAGUCGAACGAAGUGGCGAACGGGUGAGUAACGCGUAAUCAACCUGCCCUUCAGAGGGGGACAACAGUUGGAAACGACUGCUAAUACCGAAUACUGAAGGAGGGGAUUGCGUCGGAUUAGCUAGUUGGAGGGGUAACGGCCCACAAAGGCGAUGAUCAGUAGCGGGUCUGGGAGGAUGAGACGCGACAUUGGGACUGCGACACGGCCCAGACUCCUACGGGAGGCAGCAGUGGGGGAUCUUCCGCAAUGGGCGAAAGUCUGACGGGGCAACGCCGCGGGAGUGAUGACGGCCUUCGGGUUGUAAAGCUCUGUUAAUCGGGACGCGGUACCGGAAUAGAAAGCCACGGCUAACUACGUGCCAGCAGCCGCGGUAAUAC